rnacentral:lncRNA from 1 species
GGUGAAGCAGAUGUUGUGCUUGGUGGACUUAAAGGACUCCAGCCGCCGCUUCAUGUUCUGCUGGAAGACCUCCUUGUCCUGCCGCUCCUGCGCAUCCUCUGAGAUGAAGUGGCGACUGCAGCUGGCUUUGUACUGGCAAUGACAGCCCCGCCUGGCUAUGAGGAUGGAUGCCUUGGCCUCCCACAAGAACCCCAGGCCACAGCCCCAACAUAUUCACCACAGGACCUGCCAGCCCAGCUUUUCCAGAAUUAACAAUGGAUUGAAAAACAAAACAAAAAAUACAACAGGAACCCAGCCAGAGACCCUGUGUUCUCAGUUCCCUGGGAAAAGCUUCCCUUUAUCCCAGAACUUAUUCCCCCAAACCUGGCCUUCCCCAACCCUUGCCAUCCUUUCCCGAUUCUCUCUGGUUUGAAGGUGACCCUCUGUCUUGUUCUACUACUGUGACAACAUGGGGGACAUUUUCUUUGUACCUCCAUUUAUCUGAGCUUCGCCCACACACCCAGCCUACCUGCCCCCUUCUAGCUACACAGGAUCCUUUCUCCAGCUGGAAUCUCCUAUCUAGCCAUUUCUACAAGAACCACCAUGAUAUCCUGGGCUGCACUUUGAACUUUCAUAACUAUCUCCCCUGACACCCUGGACCUUCUCAGUCCCAAUAAUUCAGGAUCACCCCCAUCAUCUGCUUUUUUUUUUCUUUUUUUUGAGACGGAGUUUUGCUCUUGUCACCCAGGCUGGAGUGCAAUGGCACGAUCUCUGCUCACUGCAACCCCCGCCUCUGGGGUUCAAGCAAUUCUCCUGCCUCAGCCUCCCGAGUAGCUGGGAUUACAGGUGCCUGCCAUCACACCCGGCCAAUUUUUGUAUUUUUAGUAGAGACAGGGUUUCACCAUGUUGCCAGGCUAGUCUCGAACUCCUGACCUCAAGUGAUCUGCCUGCCUUGGCCUCCCAAAGUCCUGGGAUUACAGGCAUGAGCCACUGCGCCUGGCCAUGCUCUUUUUAACUCUUAUCAACACCAAGCCCGCUACACACUCACCUAGACUGCCUCUGCCUCUACCCUCCUUGCUUAGCACCUUUUCAUCAUCUAGUGGUAAUCCCCUGAAAUGCUUCCCAGUGCCUGCCAAAUCAUCUUAUCUUGCCUCAAAUCCCAAGUCUGGUCCCUUUAUCUCAUAUUUUCUGCUUCCCUGAACCAGUUCUAAGAGCCCCCUUCAAGUCUUCCAUCUGCCCUCCUCAUCUACCUAUGCACCAGGAGGUACCCUCUCUCCUGGGGAGAAGGGGUCCAUCUCCUUCACAAGGCUCAUUGCUGCCCAGCCCCGGCCUCCACAUUGCUCAGUUCCCUCCUUCCUGCCUCCAGCAGUUCCUGCUGCCUCCUAUUCCUCCACUCUCCUGUAUCUUCACUCCUUACCUCACCACUUGGCUCCCUCCCCUCUGUUUUCAAGCUCCUGCCCUUGCCUCCUUAAAGAAAGUCUUCCCUUGAACACCAUUGUCUCCCUUUUGCUGCUACACUUUUAUAAUUUGAUUCUGACACUUUCUCUCCUACCCACUAUUUCCUUAAAAACCAGAAAUGCAACUCCAGGGUCCACAACUCCACAGUGCUGCCUUCUUGCUGGUCACCAGUGCUGUGGGCUCUGCCUAGGUGCUGGCCAGGCCUCUGCGCAGCAUCCAGCCCUCUUUCUGCCCCAGGCCUGAGGCACCACCUGCCACUGCUUCUCCAAGGGUUCCUUGUCUUUGGCUCUCUUUCCUUUUCUCCCAUGCGCACUCCUCAGUGUUAUCCUUAGCCCUCCUCCCGCCCCAUGAAACACUCUCCUCAGAGAACUUAUCCAUUCUCUCUGCCCCAGCUAUCCCAGUGAUACAGAUCUGUGGUCCCCCAACAUCAGUCAUCAGACCAGCUGCAUUUGAAUCACCUGGGGAACUUAGUAAGAACACAGAUUCUUAGUCCCACUCCAGACUACAGAAUCAGAAUCUCCAGGUGAAGCCAGGAAGUUCCCCAGGGGAUUCUGUGGUAGCCAGGUGACAAAACCUGAUACAGAUUGCUUCCAAAUUUCUCUCCAGCCCUUAUCUCUCUAUUAAACUAUAAUCUUAUCUUUCUAACUGAAAACUAGAUAUCUCUGUCUCUCUCUAAUGAUAUUUCGAUGAAGAACAUGAGAAAUUGUGGAUUG